ensembl:snoRNA
UUGGCCCUGAAUCAAGGCUAGCAGCUUCCUGACGUUGUUUGUUUCAAGCAGGAGUCUAAAGAGAUGUCUUUCUAUGAUCUGUUGGCCAUUUCAGAAUUUGGGCUGUGAAAUGGUCAAUUCAUUAGAAAGAAACAGCU